rnacentral:rRNA from 1 species
AGUGAACGCUGGCGGUAGGCCUAACACAUGCAAGUCGAACGGCAGCACAGUAAGAGCUUGCUCUUACGGGUGGCGAGUGGCGGGCGGGUGAGGAAUACAUCGGAAUCUACUUUUUCGUGGGGGAUAGCGUAGGGAAACUUACGCUAAUACCGCAUACGACCUACGGGUGAAAGCAGGGGAUCUUCGGACCUUGCGCGAUUGAAUGAGCCGAUGUCGGAUUAGCUAGUUGGCGGGGUAAAGGCCCACCAAGGCGACGAUCCGUAGCUGGUCUGAGAGGAUGAUCAGCCACACUGGAACUGAGACACGGUCCAGACUCCUACGGGAGGCAGCAGUGGGGAAUAUUGGACAAUGGGCGCAAGCCUGAUCCAGCCAUACCGCGUGGGUGAAGAAGGCCUUCGGGUUGUAAAGCCCUUUUGUUGGGAAAGAAAAGCAGCAGGUUAAUACCCCGCUGUUCUGACGGUACCCAAAGAAUAAGCACCGGCUAACUUCGUG